UACAGAGGGUGCGAGCGUUAAUCGGAAUUACUGGGCGUAAAGCGCACGUAGGUGGCUAUGUAAGUCGGGUGUGAAAUCCCCGGGCUCAACCUGGGAACUACAUUCGAGACUGCAUGGCUGGAGUACGGAAGAGGAGGGCGGAAUUCCCGGUGUAGCGGUGAAAUGCGUAGAUAUCGGGAGGAACAUCAGUGGCGAAGGCGGCCUUCUGGUCCAGUACUGACACUCAAGUGCGAAAGCGUGGGGAGCAAACAGG
rnacentral:rRNA from 1 species